rnacentral:rRNA from 1 species
AUUGAACGCUAGCGGGAUGCCUUACACAUGCAAGUCGAACGGAGUGGCGAACGGGUGAGUAAUGUAUCGGAACGUGCCCAGUAGCGGUGGAUAACUACGCGAAAGCGCAGCUAAUACCGCAUACUAUCGGAGCGGCCGAUGGCGGACUAGCUAGUUGGUGGGGUAACGGCCCACCAAGGCGACGAUCCGUAGCUGGUUGGAGAGGACGACCAGCCAAACUGGGACUGAGAAACGGCCCAGACUCCUACGGGAGGCAGCAGUGGGGAAUUUUGGACAAUGGGGGAAACCCUGAUACAGCCAUCCCGCGUGUAUGAUGAAGGACUUCGGGUUGUAAAGGACUUUUGGCAGGUAAGCGGUAGCUGCAGAAUAAGCACCGGCUAACUACGUGCCAGCAGCCGCGGUAAUAC